rnacentral:rRNA from 1 species
AAUCAAUCUUAAAAACCUCAUUUAGCUGUGUGUAUUUUACGCACAUCAGCGUGCCUGUUGAAGAAUGAGCUGGUGAAUCAUAGGUAGUGGCUUGGUUAAAGGAGCCCACCAGAGCUGUAACGAAAGUGAGUCUUCAUAGGGCAAUUGUCACUACUUAUGGACCCGAACCUAGGUGAUCUAUCCAUGACCAGGAUGAAGCUUGGGUGAAACUAAGUGGAGGUCCGAACCGACAAAUGUUGAAGAAUCAGCGGAUGAGCUGCGGUUAGGGCUGAAAUGCCGCUCGAACCUAGAGCUAGCUAGUUCUCCUUGAAAUGCAUUAAGGCGCAGUAGUUGACUGGACAUUUAGGGUAAAGCACUGUUUCGAUGCAGGCUAUGAGGGCGGUACCAAAUCGAGGCAGACUUUGAAUACUAGAUAUGACCUCAAAAUAAUAGGGAUCAAGGUCGGCUAGUGAAACGAUGGGGGAUAAGCUUCAUCGUCGAGAGGGAAACAACCCGGAUCACCAGCUAAGGCCCCUAAAUGACCACUUAAUGAUAAAGGAGGUAGGGGUGCAGACACAGCCAGAAGGUUUACCUAGAAGCAGCCACCCUUGAAAGAGUCUGUAAUAGCUCACUGAUCGAGCACUCUUGCACCGAAGAUGAAAGGGGCUAAGUGAUCUUCUGAACCUAUAAGAUGUAAAAAUGCAUCAGUAGGGGAGCGUUCUGCCUUAGAGGGAAGCACCUGUGCGAGCGGGGGUGGACGAAGUGGAAGCGAGAAUGUCAACUUGCGUAAUAAAAACAUUGGUGAGAAUCCAAUGCCCGAAAACCUAAGGGUUCCUCUGCAAGGUUCAUCCAUAGAGGGUGAGUCAGGGCUUAAGAUCAGGCUGAAAGGCGUAAUCGAUGGACAACAGGUGUAUAUUCCUGUACUACCCCUUGUUGGUCUCGAGGGACAGAGGAGGCUAGGUUAGCCAAAAGAUGGUUAUCAGUUCAAGGACGCACGGUGUCCUUGCUUUUUCAAGGUAAGAAGGGGUAGAGAAAAUGCCUCGAGCCAAUGUUCGAGUACUAGGCACUAUAGCGCUGAAGUAACCCAUGCCAUACUUCUAGUAAAAGCUCGAACGACCUUCAAAAAAAGGGUACUUGUACCCAAAACCGACACAGGUAGGUAGGUAGAGAAUACCUAGGGGCACAAGACAAUUCUCUUUAAGGAACUUGGCAAAAUAGCCCCAUAACUUUAGGAGAAGGGGUGCCUCCUCACAAAGGGGGUUGCAGUGACCAGGCCCGGGUGAUUAUUUACCAAAAAUGCAGGUCUUUGCAAAGUCGUAAGACCAUGUAUGGGGACUAACGCCUGCCUAGUACCGGAAGGUCAAGGAAGUUGGUGACUGGAUGAUAAGGGAGUCAGCAACCGAAGCCCCGGUGAACGGCGGUCGUGACUAUAACGGUCCUAAGGUAGCGAAAUUCCUUGUCGGGUAAGUUUCGACCUGCACAAAAAGCAUAACGAUCUGAGCACUGUCUUGGAAGAGACCCGGUGAAAUAGACAUGUCUGUGAAGAUGCGGACUACCUGCACCUGGACAGAAAGACCUUAUGAAGCUUCACUAUUCCUUAGGAUUAGCUUUGGGCCUUUCCUGCGCAGCUUAGGUGGAAGGCGAAGAAGGCCGCCUUUCGGGGGGGUCCGAGCCAUCAGUAAGAUACCACUAUGGAAGAGCUAGAAUUCUAACCGUGUGUCAAGACUUAUGGGCUAAGGGACAGUCUCAGGUAUACAGUUUCUAUAGGGCGUAGGCCUCCUAAAAGGUAACAGAGGCGUGCAAAGGUUUCCUCAGGCCGGACGGAGAUUGGCCCUCGAGUGCAGAGGCAGAAGGGAGCUUGACUACAAGACCCACACGUCGAGUAGGGACGAAAGUCAGCCUUAGUGAUCUAAUGGUGCCGAGCAGAAGGGUCGUCGCUCGAUGGAUAAAAGAUACUCUAGGGAUAACAGGUUCAUCUUCCCCAAGAGCUCACAUCGUUGGGAAGGUUUGGCACCUAAGGCUAUAGUAUGUUCCAAGGGUUGGGUUGUUCGCCUAUUAAAGCGGUACAUGAGCUGGGUUCAGAACGUCGUGAGACAAUUUGAUCCAUAUCCGGUGUGGGCGUUAGAGCAUUAAGAGUACCUUUCCCUAGUACAAGAGGACCAAGAAGGACGCACCUCUAGUAUACCAGUUAUUGUGCCCACGGUAAACGCUGGGUAGCCAAGUGCAGAGUGGAUAACUGCUGAAAGCAUCUAAGUAGUAAGCCCACCCCAAGAUGAGUGCUCUCUAAUUUCGACUUUCCCAGAACCUUCAGUAGCACAAGCUAGACAACGACGGGUUCUGUCAUUAUUGAUUAU